AGUUGGCUUGGGUCCAUUGGAUUAAUUUUGGUCAACAGGCUCUGAAGAAAAAUGACAUUUCAGGGAAUUAAGAGCACGUGUUCCUCCCUCUACCUUCUCUUUCUUCCCCCAGUGACCUUGGAGGCUACUUGUUGAUAAGGAGUUGGUUGAAUCUGAAGAGCCCUUGGAUACGGAAGGCUGACUGUGUAUGGCUACUCUGAAGAAUGCAAGAAACAGUGUGUGAUACGCUUAGGGCUUAGCACAUUUUGGCCAUCUAUGGAGCAUGUGGUAUGAGUCAGAAAUGGUGUUUUUGCCCAAUUCAGAGACUAGUGCAGAAGACAGACAAAGAAAAAGACAACUCAGGUCUAA
rnacentral:lncRNA from 1 species